GUGGGGGGUGCAACAACGUAUUUUAGUCGUUGGACAGUAAGUACAGAAAGCACAUCAACGGUUCUAUUAUUUGCACCCGACGUUCCAAAACGCGCUUAUUUUCAAAACUUUCCCUCUUCCGCUUUCUCACCGUCGCUGUUUCUUCAGUUCUUCUGAAUUUCCACAUCUUUCGUUCAUCUCUUCUGCAUCUCGGGAUGCUUAAUCCCAACAAACCAGAACCUUCAAACGCCGAUUUCCUGGAGCGCCGAAAUUGGGGCAACAUAUUCAACUUAUUGGUUCAGAUGGUGAAGAAUCAGCAAAACCAGCUUCAAGCAUUCGCUAAUCAACAGAAGUUUCUAGAAGGUCGGUUGCAAUUGCAGAACCAACGUUGGGCUUCUGAUGUUAAACAGUACAAGAAUCAAAUUUCUCAGAUGAAGAGUCUUUUGAUUUUUGAGGAGAAGAAACGGGUGCUUGAAGCUGCUAAGGCUGAUUUGAUAAUGGGUUAUAAGGAGAGAGAUGCUUCUGUUUUGAAAUGGAUGUUGGAUAGUACAGAGGACGAUUUAGAGGAUUUCAAAACUGGGUUUGAUAUCCUUUCUCUUAAAGCUACCUCAAGUAGCGGGAAGAAUUUGUCUCCUGAAGAAACAAAAGAUAAACAUGAUAAGCUUGCUGCAGAACAAAAUUCUGAGCUAUUAGCACUGUUGGAAGAAAAGAAGUUUGUGUGGAAUCAAUUUAAUAAAAUGGAGGCUGACUACAGUAAUAAAUUGAGAAGUAAACAAGAUGAAGUGAUAAAGGCAAAUGAGAAGAUAAACAUACUUGUUUCCAGAAUGGAGGAACUGCAGUCUGAAAAUAGUAAAAAGGAUAGUAGAAUAUCAGAGUUAGAAAGUAAAGUGGCUGAUAUUGACGUGGAAACAAAUAGUAAAAAGGAUAGUAGAAUAUCAGAGUUAGAAAAUAAAGUGGCUGAUAUGGACGCAGAAACAAAUAGAUUAAACAAGGAAAUAUCUGGACUCUCAGCGGAGUUGGAAUCUUUAAGAAAGUUGAAGAACAACGAAGUUAAACCCUUUUCAAAUCGUUGCACGGCAGGAUCUAGUGACUCUGGAGCAAUUGAGAGCAACAGGAGUAGAAGAAAGAUCACUUUUGACAAAGAAUCAUCUACUCCUGUUGGGCCUGCUUCCACAUCCACAAACUUCUCCGAAAGGGAGAGAAGAAGAUUGAAGAGGAAAGAAAGUCCGGUUAUUCCCACCUCCGAGACACCCAAACUGUUCUCUUCCAGCUUCAAGGUUCCAAAACUAAAGUCAUCUUUAAAGACGAUAUGACAGAUGAUAUCUGUCCAUUAAUGUUAACUUAUUAGAAGAUGUUUUAGUGUGUUUGGAAUCAUCGGUUUUUAAGGCGUGGCCUAACGUCUAACCAAAAGUUAAAACCAGACUUCUCUUCCGGAAAUCGCAGUCAUGUUCGAAGAAGAGUUGACAGAAACUAAAUAUGGAUGUCUUCUCCUGGGAAGAUUCAAAUAGUGAUUAGCUGCCUGGCAAUAUAACUUCUAACCACUGUGAAAGUGUUGGUUAUUAAAAAGUUUUGGUGACAUGUAUCAUUUUGCUUCUUAAUAUGAUAAGAGCACACAAAUUGUCACACUUUUUCAUCAUCUAUUGACACAUCCACCAUCAUUGUAUUUCAUCAAAUGUUUAUAGAAAAAACAUAUGAAGUAAAUAAGUAAAUUUGUGUUGAACUCAACUUCUUUGAAACAACACAAGAUAAAAUGUGAGCACAAUUUUUUCA